rnacentral:lncRNA from 1 species
UUCAUUCCAAAAAUCAAAAGGUAAAAAGAAUUUUAAGUCAUGGAAAUAAAAUCAAAUAAAAAUUGUGUGUUAAAAUGGACCAUUUGGAAUAAAUAAUUAAAAUAAAAUACUAAUACUAAAUAAAUACGAAAAUAAAAAUUAAAUAAAAUUAAAUAAGGCAUUAAGAAAUAUGGAAAAUAUUUUUGGACAUUUUUAUAAAUAAAGAAAAUAUUUUAAAAUAAUUAAAAUCUAAACAGAAAAUAAGUGUGAAUUGAAAUAAGAAAAUAAAAAUAAAUGGAUUGGUGUUGAUGGGCCCUGAAAGGGAGGAGUGGAGAGUAACUAGCGCAGGCCCAUGAUCC